AUUCGUGUACGUGUCGUGGCUCAGACCAGCUGUGCCUCUGUUUAACCACAUAGCUUUGUAGACAAGGGAAAGCAGAAGGGAUGCAAAAAACGGAGACCAGACAGGAGCUACUUUGGUCACUCACGGCUGCAAAAUGCUGUCCCGGUAGCGGCGGCGCUGGCAAGCCACGGCCCGGGGCCUACUGGUAUAGGUGUAGGUGCCUGAGGCCUCGGCGGUCCGAGGGUUACGGUCUGUCAUCGCCGACGCCAUGUUGAGGGUCGAACUGCUUCCCCUUCGGUGAAGGUGGGCUCUGAAGCAGGUGGGGGCUAAGGAGUCGUCGUAGUCGGAGACUUCUCCUCCGGUGCGGGCAGAGCACCUCCCCAUGUCACAGAGCAUAGCAGAGCCAACUCUCCGGCCUCCCGGGGGCUAACCUGCCCCAUCUGCAUUGUCUUUACAGACCAGGAUCGAGGAAAUAUGUGGAGCUGGAGAGUGAACAGGGACUUGAAAACGCACUCCACAGCCAAGAGAGCCUUCUCUUGCGGAUUAGGAUUCCUCCUUUUCAUCCAUCUAGCAACAUCAAGGAAAAUUAUUUAAGGCUGAAUAAUUAAACUCAAUGCCAAUUUUUUACUUCCUGUGACGGCCCAGAACGAACCCAAGUUCAUUCUUCAGCAUGGCUGUCGAUAUGGUCCAAAUCCAUACGCUCCGAUAUGGACCUACCUAACACCUGCUACAUCACACAUGAUGGCACAGAGUUAGUGGCCUUUUCUCAGAAGCUCGACGUCAUCUCUGGUAAACACACCCAAAGCCAGAUUGCUGGUUUGAGAGUUCCAGAACCACCUCAUUCUCAUCUCUAUCGAUGGCCAAUCUAUUCUCCGGUUCCUUGGGCCAGAACAUUUUGAUCAUCUCGGAUGUCCUCUACUUUCCAACAGCGCACUCUUUUCAGCAGGUAGCCAUCUGCUCCAGAUACACUCGUUCAGAAUCCAGCAACAGGUCACACUGCCUUUAGCUGCUGGUUCCCAGGUUGCUUUCCCCCGCCAUCCCACAAUUCUCUCUGCCCUCAGCGUCUGUCUCCCUUGCAGCACUGCAAGCCAGAGUGAUGUUUCUCACACACACACAGCACACUUGUCUCUGUAACCCUUUCGGUGGCUUUCUAACUCACUCAACAAAACAAGCAGGCCAAAGGAGGCCCAGUUUGAUGUGACAUCGGACUCCUGCUUAUGUCCCCCACCUUUUUGCCUUUCCUUCCUCUCUUCCUGCCCCUGCUAGCUCUCCGCGGCUCCUGCAGCAUUGCAGGCAAGCUCACACUUUGGGCUUCUGCUCUUGGUGUUUGUUCUAACAGGAGUUCUGCCCUAGGGGUCUGUUUGGUACACUACACCUUUGCUCAGAAUUUCCCUUUGCAACAAGGCCCCCACAAGUUGCUCUGCUUAAUGUUGCAACAGACCUCCCUCCCCCUCCAGCAACUGCCAGUUCCUCUUCCCAAACUUCCUUUCCUGCUGCAUAGCAUAUAGCGGUUUCUGAUAACGCUAGGUGAUUUCUUACGCUUAACCGGUUCCCUGUGCUACAAGACGAGCGCUAUCCAACUAGGAUUCACUUUCUCAUCGCGUGUACUCAGAAGAAUGCUCAGUAGACAGAGGCCCACUACACACGUCUUAAACAGUUGGGUCACAUGACCAGCAUCAUCAUUCAGUGGCAGAGACCCAGAGAGCUCGUGGAGGAAUGGAAGCCUUCCUGGGUCCUUCAUACCACGACAAAUGGGAAUACAAGUUCAUGGUCUUCUGUUAUCCCAUGACUUUGAUAAACUCAGGCCCCUAACUCAGUGGCCUUGGGAACGUAACUGUUGAGGGGUCCUGGGUCUCAGCCUCCCCAUACUCGCUCUGCUGGUUUCUUGAAGGUUGAUUCUUUGUUACUCUCCUUUUAGUGUAGAUGGAGCUGGUGGGUUUGCUUCUAGGCUUGACGACGGCACACGAUAAACCAGCUUGCUUGUAUCUUGGGCUCCAAAGCCAUUUUACAGUAAGGACAAACUAGGUUCAUUUCUGUUUAAAAUUAAAUGUCUUUUUCUC
ensembl:antisense